rnacentral:rRNA from 1 species
GACGAACGCUGGCGGCGUGCCUAAUACAUGCAAGUUGAGCGCUGAAGGUUGGUACUUGUACCAACUGGAUGAGCAGCGAACGGGUGAGUAACGCGUGGGGAAUCUGCCUUUGAGCGGGGGGCAACAUUUGGAAACGAAUGCUAAUACCGCAUAAAAACUUUAAACACAAGUUUUAAGUUUGAAAGAUGCAAUUGCAUCACUCAAAGAUGAUCCCGCGUUGUAUUAGCUAGUUGGUGAGGUAAAGGCUCACCAAGGCGAUGAUACAUAGCCGACCUGAGAGGGUGAUCGGCCACAUUGAGACUGAGACACGGCCCAAACUCCUACGGGAGGCAGCAGUAGGGAAUCUUCGGCAAUGGACGAAAGUCUGACCGAGCAACGCCGCGGGAGUGAAGAAGGUUUUCGGAUCGUAAAACUCUGUUGGUAGAGAAGAACGUUGGUGAGAGUGGAAAGCUCAUCAAGUGACGGUAACUACCCAGAAAGGGACGGCUAACUACGUG